rnacentral:rRNA from 1 species
GUCUAGUACUCAGAGUUUGAUCCUGGCUCAGGACGAACGCUGGCGGCGUGCCUAACACAUGCAAGUCGAACGGAGUUGUCCUUCGGGGACAGCUUAGUGGCGAACGGGUGAGUAACGCGUGAGAAACCUGCCUUUCAGUGGGGGACAACAGUUGGAAACGACUGCUAAUACCGCAUAAUGUAUCGAUGGGGCAUCCUGUUGAUACCAAAGAUUUAUUGCUGAAAGAUGGUCUCGCGUCUGAUUAGCUAGUUGGUGAGGUAACGGCUCACCAAGGCGACGAUCAGUAGCCGGUCUGAGAGGAUGAACGGCCACAUUGGGACUGAGAUACGGCCCAG